UAUAUUUGCUUCGGCUUCACAUAUAAUAAAAAAAAUGGAAGGAUACAGAGAAGAUUCGCAUGGUCCCUGAACAAGGAUGACACAAAAAAUUCUAUGAAGCAUUCCAUUAAA